AAAUGAUGACACAAUGUGAUUUCGUGCUCAGUGCUCAGAAUGUCAAUAUGAAGAGAUUUAACCAAGCGCGGGUAAACAGCGGGAGUAACUAUGACUCUCUUAAGGUAGCCAAAUGCCUCGUCGUCCAAUUAGCGACGCGCAUGAAUGGAUUAAUGAGAUUCCCACUGUCCCUAAUUACUAUCUAGCGAAACCACAGCCAAGGGAACGGGCUUGGCAAAAUUAGCGGGGAAAGAAGACCCUGUUGAGCUUGACUUUAUUCAGAAUUUGUGAAAUGGUGCUCGAGGUAUAGAAUAGGUGGGAGUGUAACGAAAUUGAAAUACCACUACUUUUGACGUUGUUUUACUUAUUAAAUAAAAACUAAAAGAAUUAUAAUCUUGAUUCUAGAAUUAACGAAUAUUACAUGUUGACUCCAUGUGGGUUAACCUCUGAUUUGGGUAAGGUUUGUUUU
rnacentral:rRNA from 1 species